UGGGGAAUUUUGGACAAUGGGCGAAAGCCUGAUCCAGCCAUGCCGCGUGAGUGAAGAAGGCCUUCGGGUUGUAAAGCUCUUUUAGUCGGAAAGAAAGAGUUGCAAUGAAUAAUUGUGAUUUAUGACGGUACCGACAGAAAAAGCACCGGCUAACUACGUGCCAGCAGCCGCGGUAAUACGUAGGGUGCGAGCGUUAAUCGGAAUUACUGGGCGUAAAGGGUGCGCAGGCGGUCUUGCAAGUCAGAUGUGAAAGCCCCGGGCUUAACCUGGGAAUUGCGUUUGAAACUACAAGGCUAGAGUGCAGCAGAGGGGAGUGGAAUUCCAUGUGUAGCAGUGAAAUGCGUAGAGAUGUGGAAGAACACCGAUGGCGAAGGCAGCUCUCUGGGUUGACACUGACGCUCAUGCACGAAAGCGUGGGGAGCAAACA
rnacentral:rRNA from 1 species